rnacentral:rRNA from 1 species
AACGAACGCUGGCGGCAGGCUUAACACAUGCAAGUCGAGCGGGGUGAUGGUGCUUGCACUAUCACUUAGCGGCGGACGGGUGAGUAAUGCUUAGGAAUCUGCCUAUUGGUGGGGAAUAGCUGUUCGAAAUGGCAGGUAAUACCGCAUAAGAUCGCAAGAUGAAAGGUUGAAAGACCGCCAUAAGAUGAGCCUGCGGCCGAUUAGCUAGUUGGUGAGGUAACGGCCCACCAAGGCGAAGAUCGGUAGCUGGUCUGAGAGGACGGUCAGCCACACUGGAACUGAUACACGGUCCAGACUCCUACGGGGGCAGCAGUGGGGAAUAUUGGACAAUGGGGGAAACCCUGAUCCAGCAAUGCCGCGUGAGUGAUGAAGGUCUUCGGAUUGUAAAGCUCUUUUGGCAGGGACGAUGAUGACGGUACCUGCAGAAUAAGCUCCGGCUAACUUCGUGCCAGCCGCCGCCGUAAAAC